rnacentral:tRNA from 1 species
GAGGGUAUAGCUCAGUAGUAGAGCGCAUGCUUAGCACGCAUGAGGUCCUGGGUUCAAUCUUCAGUACUUCCA